AAGCCAGGCAAAAUUCUCUAGAAGAAAUGAUUCAAAGAAAGAGACUUGGAAAGAGAGAACCCGCUAAUACUGGCUGAAUCUGAAAUUGAAAAAUGAUCAGAGGAAGUUGGACAAUCUUAAACAAAAUAAAAAACUACAAAACCAAGCUAACAAAAAAAGGCUUAAAGAAAGAAGAACUUUGAAUUCCAAAUUUUUUUUAUAAACAAUAUAAGAAAAACAAAGGCAGUGGCAGAGAAACAGUAGAAAAAAAGGAAGAAAGAUAAAAAAGAAGUUGGGUUGAAUAAGGACUUAGAAUCGAACAAAAACAGCUCAAAAAUUCAAAUGAGAACAGAUCUGUGACUGUGUCAGAUUCCAGAUCUACAGUGAGAAAACCUGCACAACACACAAGAAAACAACUGCCACAAAACCCAAAUGCUUGGACGAGUACUUUGAAACACAUCAUAAAAAAUGCUACACCAAGAAGAAAGGGCCUUCUAGACGAGAUCAUUCAUAAGCAUUUGGGUUUUGUGGCAGUUGUUUUCUUGUGUGUUGUGGAGGUUUUCUCACUGUAGAUCUGGAAUCUGACACAGUCACAGAUCUGUUCUCAUUUGAAUUUUUGAGCUGUUUUUGUUCGAUUUUAAGUCCUUAUUCAACCCAACUUCUUUUUCAUCUUUCUUCCUUUUUCUACUGUUUCUCUGCCACUGCCUUUGUUUUUCUUUAUAUUGUUUAUC
rnacentral:lncRNA from 1 species